GAGAAGAUGCGAGUGAUGAGGAUGACAAACUCACUGGCUGCUUAACCUCAUCAAAAUAUCACUUAUUCAGCAUCCUAAUUUUACUUAGUUUCCAAUUUAGUUAGUUAAUUACAUAUGACGAAACAAAUUGACCGGAGCAUAUUUACACACAAAAAAGAAUUCUAUAUGUAUCUCCGAAUAUAUUUUCUUCAAAGAAACCAUUAGCAGAAAAAUAUGAUUUUCAUUUCACUCUGAUUUCCAACGACCUAAGUUAGUCUUAUAGUUAUGAUUUAUGUAUCACUGUUUCUGUGGCAUGCAUGAUCCAAAUGUAGGAAUAGUAGGAUCAAAUACAUACAAAUUAUGAGAUGUAAUGGACUCGAGGAAUUAAUUGUUGGCUCUCCAAGAAGAUUUAUCUAUGUACGAGAGAUGAUAUAUUAUAUUUACAUCAUAUUGCACUAAAUAUAUACUUACACUAGAUAUAAAUAGUUGGUUAACUCUAGGACGAAAUUAGCUCUUGCGGAGACGUGCGUAGCAGUAACAAUAAAUCAGGAAGAAAAAAAUCAUUGCAAAAAAAACUGUCAAAAAAAGUUAGUGUAAUUCACAAAUCCCUUCUUUUCGAGGAAGGAGAUCUUUUCUUUUCCUCUGGAAACUACAAAUUAUAAGUAAAUAAAAUGAUAAGUCUAACUUAACUAAAUACUUGAUAAGGUGUUUAGAGGAGAAGUAGUAAAAGUCAUAUUAUGGAGCCACGUCACACUCGAGAUCCAUUAUCGUUUCGAAAAAAAAUGUUAUCUAAUAUUUACCACGUACUAAAAAUAAUACAUAAUUAUUAAGGGCCCGGGGGAAGAUUUACUUGAUUUUAUGUUAGCAACAAUAAUUGCCAGGGCCCCAAGAUUAUUAUCGCUCUGUUAGGUUACGACCACAAUUAAUUGACACCGUUUCUAUGGGACACUCACGUUCAAAAGCUUUGGUUUUGUCACUGCU